CCCAUCGUCCAAGAGGCAAACCGAGUGAACAAGAUGUUUCAGAUGGAAAACACAUAUCCAUGCAGGCUUUUCCACGAACUCAUCACGUUCUAUCUGAGCCUGCUACGAAGAGUCACAAAAAUCAGCACCGUGGUCGUGGACAGCUCAUCAAUCAAAUCUACACGCACCAGCAGCAGAGAACAACGUUGCAAAGAAUACCUGCUUGAAUUUGCGAAGCAAAUGAAACAACGUCUGCCUACCAACAUGCAGCAACUCCAGUCUCUCGGGGCCUUGAGUCCAUCUACGGUGCUCAGUGUUCAGAAAACACCCCAGCUAGCAUCUCUGUCAUUUCUCCACCUGUACACAGGAAACCUCGGCAAGCUUGAUCAACAGUGGAGAGUGCUGGACACGCUUCAGUGGGAGAAUACAGAAGACUGCAAAACCGAACAGUUCUGGAUUGAAGUGAAAAAUCACAUAGAUGCGGCCGGUGACAAGGACUUUGCUGAGCUUGGAUCGUUUGCCCUCUCACUUCUGGCAUUGCCAUUCAGCAAAGCAGCUGUGGAACGCAUCUUCUCUGAGAUUAAUUUGAUCAAGACCAAAUUGUUCCAUUUCAAGGAGUUUUUCUCUUUUUUUACUGUAAGGCACCUUCUACAAGUCAAACAGGGAGGAAGAGAGAAAAGGGAAGAGAAACCCUAAAGACAACAGGUUAGUUUGUCAGUCAGUUAAUUGGUCUACACGUUCACAGAUCUAUAUUUUAUUUAUGAUAAUAUACUGUAUCUAAUUACACAAGGCUAUCUUGGGACCUAGGUGAAAAAACUGCUUUUAAUACUGGCGUUACUUUGUAUAUAUUACAAUACAUUUGGCAAUGCUGCUGGACUUUAAAAGCAGUGUAUAUGGUUUGGCAGGGCUUGUUUUAUUGGCCAUUGGGCUGGUUUUGUCACACAGACCUGGCAACCCUGCUCACGUAGGACCACCAAACGUCGUCGUGUUUUGUAUUAAAUAGCAUCCGUAGGCGCAGACAGUUGAAUUUCACCGACUUCUACAGGAACUGCGUCUGGAUCACUGCCGCUUCCGCGGUACAUGCUGCUAGCCGUUAGGCCGUUUGACAAUACAAUUACCCAUAAAAAGGCACAUAUGUUUGUAUGUAAUUUGUGUCUUUCCUGGACCUGUUGCAAUAUAAGUACGGCUCGUACAGCUCGAGUACCGCUAUUUCCAGGUAAUACUUUCGACAAUACGAUAUGUAAUGUAAUUCCUACAUUUACAGCCUGUAAAUUAGUCAGUGAAAGUGAGAAAUUAAAUAUACUAAACGUUAGAUAUCAAAACACCUAUUUUGUAUUUACACAUUGUUCAUUUGUAACUAACCUUAAAUAUUCGUGAAAUAUUUUCUAUGGAUAUAUCAAUUUCCCGCAGCUGGUAGACAUGAGGUUCUCUCCAAACGGUAACCAGUUCAUGCUCCAUGCUAAUGUUCGCUAAAGUUAAACAUUUCUGGACUCCACGCUCUACUAAUGAGCAGUAUGCCUAUAUACUUGACCAUCAACGAAAACCGGUAACGUUUUAAUUUAGCCUAAUGGUAACUUUUUAUUUUGAUCAUCUUAGCUGCUCAGAUCAAACCGAUUUAAUUAUUUAUUUCAUUACAUUCCAAAAAAUCUGAGAUUGACAUUUCAGCAUGUUGAAUUUUGGGUAACGGACAUCAUCAUUCAGUCUAUUCCGGAUAUGAGCACGUGAAUUUGGGAUUACUUUUCAACCACAUUAAUAUUGUACUUUCCUUCAGAGAAGCACAUCGAUAUGGACUCCAGCCUGUUACCCUACUUGGACGUAGAAAGUCAAAUGUUGCAUGGUGGCUAUAGUGACAAGGACAUACAUAACCACUUGGUUUAAGGAUGUGGCUUGAGUCGAGGAGCGUUCAUCAGGAAUAUUCGAAGAUUUUGCAAAGAUCACUGCGAGUGACGGACGAACAACUGGAAGGCGCGGUCUUAAAAUCAGUAAACGAGGUAGGGUACAGUUAAGUUUUCCAUGAACACGUUAAAACAUAAAGAAACUACAUGUGGUAUAAUGAUACUGCUGUAAAUUGUGGUAACUCAUUCAAUUAAGAUCAAUUAAGUUAAAAACGUUAAAUAUUGUAGCUUUCUACAGCACAAUGCAGUAUUAGUCAAAUGACACAAGACUACUGACUGUUUAUUAUACCCUCAAGCCCCUUCACAAGUGUCUUUUUCACCCAAAACCAUUUCAACAUUUUCUGAACACUCCAAAAAUCUAAGAUCAUAAACACACCCUGCAUUCAGAGCCAUAAAGAGUCUGAGAAUUGUUUUUCUACAUGGCAUGUGGACAUAGAUGAUGGGUAAGUGGACGCCAGGUUUGAUAUGUCAAUAGCAAAUAUAGCCACUGUGAAUGGUGAAAAUGUUAUAACAUAGUCUUAUGCUAAGAAUGAUUAUUGUCUGUAUUGAAGAGAUGUGCAAAAGCAGAAAGAUUUAAUAUCUCCAUAUGCAGCUGUGUCUGAAGAUCGAACAAAGGAACUGUGUGUGUUACCCCCAUCUUAACCUUGGUUUGCAACUUUUCGUACCUGCCACUGAGGAUGCCCUUCUCCUGCUCGGAGAUGCCAUUUACACAAUAUUGUGUAUUCAACAUCCUGCUUGCAAGCAAUAGUUAGAGCCAGAUAUCUGCGGAGAAUUGCUCAUGUAAUCUUUUUCUCUUCUAAAUAAAUGUUAACUUUUUGACUUUAAUUGAUCAACGUGCUGCGAUUCUUAUUAUC
ensembl:lncRNA